UGGGGGAUAUUGCACAAUGGGCGAAAGCCUGAUGCAGCGACGCCGCGUGGGGGAUGAAGGCUUUCGGGUUGUAAACCUCUUUCGCUAUCGAACAAGGCCCGCUUAGGGUGGGUUGAGGGUAGGUGGAGAAGAAGCGCCGGCUAACUACGUGCCAGCAGCCGCGGUAAUACGUAGGGCGCGAGCGUUGUCCGGAAUUAUUGGGCGUAAAGGGCUUGUAGGCGGCUUGUUGCGCCUGCUGUGAAAACGCGGGGCUUAACUUCGCGCGUGCAGUGGGUACGGGCAGGCUGAGUGUGGUAGGGGUGACUGGAAUUCCAGGUGUAGCGGUGGAAUGCGCAGAUAUCUGGAGGAACACCGAUGGCGAAGGCAGGUCACUGGGCCAUUACUGACGCUGAGGAGCGAAAGCAUGGGUAGCGAACAGG
rnacentral:rRNA from 1 species